rnacentral:rRNA from 1 species
AGAUUAAGUUAUUAAGGGCGCACGGUGGAUGCCUUGGCACUAGAAGCCGAUGAAGGACGUUACUAACGACGAUAUGCUUUGGGGAGCUGUAAGUAAGCUUUGAUCCAGAGAUUUCCGAAUGGGGAAACCCAGCAUGAGUUAUGUCAUGUUAUCGAUAUGUGAAUACAUAGCAUAUCAGAAGGCACACCCGGAGAACUGAAACAUCUUAGUACCCGGAGGAAGAGAAAGAAAAUUCGAUUCCCUUAGUAGCGGCGAGCGAAACGGGAAGAGCCCAAACCAACAAGCUUGCUUGUUGGGGUUGUAGGACACUCUAUACGGAGUUACAAAGGACGACAUUAGACGAAUCAUCUGGAAAGAUGAAUCAAAGAAGGUAAUAAUCCUGUAGUCGAAAAUGUUGUCUCUCUUGAGUGGAUCCUGAGUACGACGGAGCACGUGAAAUUCCGUCGGAAUCUGGGAGGACCAUCUCCUAAGGCUAAAUACUCUCUAGUGACCGAUAGUGAACCAGUACCGUGAGGGAAAGGUGAAAAGCACCCCGGAAGGGGAGUGAAAUAGAACCUGAAACCGUGUGCUUACAAGUAGUCAGAGCCCGUUAAUGGGUGAUGGCGUGCCUUUUGUAGAAUGAACCGGCGAGUUACGAUUUGAUGCAAGGUUAAGCAGUAAAUGUGGAGCCGUAGCGAAAGCGAGUCUGAAUAGGGCGUUUAGUAUUUGGUCGUAGACCCGAAACCAGGUGAUCUACCCUUGGUCAGGUUGAAGUUCAGGUAACACUGAAUGGAGGACCGAACCGACUUACGUUGAAAAGUGAGCGGAUGAACUGAGGGUAGCGGAGAAAUUCCAAUCGAACCUGGAGAUAGCUGGUUCUCUCCGAAAUAGCUUUAGGGCUAGCCUCAAGUGAUGAUUAUUGGAGGUAGAGCACUGUUUGGACGAGGGGCCCCUCUCGGGUUACCGAAUUCAGACAAACUCCGAAUGCCAAUUAAUUUAACUUGGGAGUCAGAACAUGGGUGAUAAGGUCCGUGUUCGAAAGGGAAACAGCCCAGACCACCAGCUAAGGUCCCAAAAUAUAUGUUAAGUGGAAAAGGAUGUGGCGUUGCCCAGACAACUAGGAUGUUGGCUUAGAAGCAGCCAUCAUUUAAAGAGUGCGUAAUAGCUCACUAGUCGAGUGACACUGCGCCGAAAAUGUACCGGGGCUAAACAUAUUACCGAAGCUGUGGAUUGUCCUUUGGACAAUGGUAGGAGAGCGUUCUAAGGGCGUUGAAGCAUGAUCGUAAGAACAUGUNNNNNNNNNNNNNNNNNNNNNNNNNNNNNNNNNNNNNNNNNNNNNNNNNNNNNNNNNNNNNNNNNNNNNNNNNNNNNNNNNNNNNNCGUNAGGACAUGUGGAGCGCUUAGAAGUGAGAAUGCCGGUGUGAGUAGCGAAAGACGGGUGAGAAUCCCGUCCACCGAUUGACUAAGGUUUCCAGAGGAAGGCUCGUCCGCUCUGGGUUAGUCGGGUCCUAAGCUGAGGCCGACAGGCGUAGGCGAUGGAUAACAGGUUGAUAUUCCUGUACCACCUAUAAUCGUUUUAAUCGAUGGGGGGACGCAGUAGGAUAGGCGAAGCGUGCGAUUGGAUUGCACGUCUAAGCAGUAAGGCUGAGUAUUAGGCAAAUCCGGUACUCGUUAAGGCUGAGCUGUGAUGGGGAGAAGACAUUGUGUCUUCGAGUCGUUGAUUUCACACUGCCGAGAAAAGCCUCUAGAUAGAAAAUAGGUGCCCGUACCGCAAACCGACACAGGUAGUCAAGAUGAGAAUUCUAAGGUGAGCGAGCGAACUCUCGUUAAGGAACUCGGCAAAAUGACCCCGUAACUUCGGGAGAAGGGGUGCUCUUUAGGGUUAACGCCCAGAAGAGCCGCAGUGAAUAGGCCCAAGCGACUGUUUAUCAAAAACACAGGUCUCUGCUAAACCGUAAGGUGAUGUAUAGGGGCUGACGCCUGCCCGGUGCUGGAAGGUUAAGAGGAGUGGUUAGCUUCUGCGAAGCUACGAAUCGAAGCCCCAGUAAACGGCGGCCGUAACUAUAACGGUCCUAAGGUAGCGAAAUUCCUUGUCGGGUAAGUUCCGACCCGCACGAAAGGCGUAACGAUUUGGGCACUGUCUCAACGAGAGACUCGGUGAAAUCAUAGUACCUGUGAAGAUGCAGGUUACCCGCGACAGGACGGAAAGACCCCGUGGAGCUUUACUGUAGCCUGAUAUUGAAAUUCGGCACAGCUUGUACAGGAUAGGUAGGAGCCUUUGAAACGUGAGCGCUAGCUUACGUGGAGGCGCUGGUGGGAUACUACCCUAGCUGUGUUGGCUUUCUAACCCGCACCACUUAUCGUGGUGGGAGACAGUGUCAGGCGGGCAGUUUGACUGGGGCGGUCGCCUCCUAAAAGGUAACGGAGGCGCUCAAAGGUUCCCUCAGAAUGGUUGGAAAUCAUUCAUAGAGUGUAAAGGCAUAAGGGAGCUUGACUGCGAGACCUACAAGUCGAGCAGGGUCGAAAGACGGACUUAGUGAUCCGGUGGUUCCGCAUGGAAGGGCCAUCGCUCAACGGAUAAAAGCUACCCCGGGGAUAACAGGCUUAUCUCCCCCAAGAGUUCACAUCGACGGGGAGGUUUGGCACCUCGAUGUCGGCUCAUCGCAUCCUGGGGCUGUAGUCGGUCCCAAGGGUUGGGCUGUUCGCCCAUUAAAGCGGUACGCGAGCUGGGUUCAGAACGUCGUGAGACAGUUCGGUCCCUAUCCGUCGUGGGCGUAGGAAAUUUGAGAGGAGCUGUCCUUAGUACGAGAGGACCGGGAUGGACAUACCUCUGGUGUACCAGUUGUCGUGCCAACGGCAUAGCUGGGUAGCUAUGUGUGGACGGGAUAAGUGCUGAAAGCAUCUAAGCAUGAAGCCCCCCUCAAGAUGAGAUUUCCCAACUUCGGUUAUAAGAUCCCUCAAAGAUGAUGAGGUUAAUAGGUUCGAGGUGGAAGCAUGGUGACAUGUGGAGCUGACGAAUACUAAUCGAUCGAAGACUUAAUCAAAA